rnacentral:rRNA from 1 species
CCUACGGGAGGCAGCAGUAAGGAAUAUUGGUCAAUGGACGAAAGUCUGAACCAGCCAUGCCGCGUGAAGGAUGACGGCCCUCUGGGUUGUAAACUUCUUUUAUAGGGGACGAAAAAAGGGUAUUCUUACUCACUUGACGGUACCCUAGGAAUAAGCACCGGCUAACUCCGUGCCAGCAGCCGCGGUAAUACGGAGGGUGCAAGCGUUAUCCGGAUUCACUGGGUUUAAAGGGUGCGUAGGUGGGUCUAUAAGUCAGUGGUGAAAUCUCCGAGCUUAACUCGGAAACUGCCAUUGAUACUAUAGGCCUUGAAUUAUCUGGAGGUAAGCGGAAUAUGUCAUGUAGCGGUGAAAUGCUUAGAUAUGACAUAGAACACCAAUUGCGAAGGCAGCUUACUACGGAUAUAUUGACACUGAGGCACGAAAGCGUGGGGAUCAAACAGGAUUAGAUACCCUGGUAGUCCACGCCCUAAACCUAUGGAUACUCGACAUCAGCGAUACACUGUUGGUUGUCUGAGCGAAGACAUUAAGUUAAUCCACCUCGGAAGGUACGACCGCGAGUUAGAACGACGAAGAAAGUAGUACGGCGUGAGACGUGCCGACGGACGACGACGAGGGAGGAGG